rnacentral:rRNA from 1 species
UGGGGAAUCUUCCGCAAUGGGCGAAAGCCUGACGGAGCAACGCCGCGUGAGUGAUGACGGCCUUCGGGUUGUAAAGCUCUGUGAUCGGGGACGAAUGGUCCGUAAGCUAAUAUCUUAUGGAAGUGACGGUACCCGAAUAGCAAGCCACGGCUAACUACGUGCCAGCAGCCGCGGUAAUACGUAGGUGGCAAGCGUUGUCCGGAAUUAUUGGGCGUAAAGGGAGCGCAGGCGGGAAGGUAAGUCUAUCUUAAAAGUGCGGGGCUCAACCCCGUGAGGGGAUGGAAACUAUUUUUCUUGAGUGCAGGAGAGGAAAGCGGAAUUCCUAGUGUAGCGGUGAAAUGCGUAGAUAUUAGGAGG